GAGAGCACUGUACGAUGAAAGUUGUAAGUUGUGUUCGGGGGUGGGGGGAGUUAUUGUCUAUUAUUGGCCUCUAUGGUACAAUCAUUUGGGGUACCUGAGAGCCGGUGGUUUACCCUAC
rnacentral:ncRNA from 1 species